GAUCCUGGCUCAGGACGAACGCUGGCGGCGCGCCUAACACAUGCAAGUCGAACGGAAUCAAGAGGAGCUUGCUUUUCUUGAUUUAGUGGCGAACGGGUGAGUAACGCGUGAGGAACCUGCCUCAAAGAGGGGGACAACAGUUGGAAACGACUGCUAAUACCGCAUAAGCCCACGGCUCGGCAUCGAGCAGAGGGAAAAGGAGCAAUCCGCUUUGAGAUGGCCUCGCGUCCGAUUAG
rnacentral:rRNA from 1 species